UCCAUUAGAGUAUACCUCCGUUGAGACUUAUCUUUUAUUAGAGAUGUCUUUGAUAUUAAGAUUGAUAGGUAGCACUGUUUUCAUUAGCUGAGUAUUCUGGUAUAGCAACGUAGGUGGGCAACAAUAUGCACAUAUGUGUGUAUAUAUUUUUAUAUACAAUCUGCCAUAGGAAAAUUCUCAUGCGCAAGAAAUAUGCAUAGAACAAUAUAAAGGUUAUGUCACGUCGGUUUCUCCCGAAUCAUAGCAAAUCAGAAAUUUCUUUAAAGGUGGAUGAAGAGUACUUCUUUGAAUAUAAGAUCUUAGGAAGCCCGAGACAUAAGUUUGGAUUAGCUUAAGAAGCGGACAAGUCCCAGAUUGUUUCAGCUAGGAUGGUUGGUUAUCAGCUGGGAUUGGCAAACUCCAUUUUCCCUCUUGGAGCAGUGUCGAGUCAUUAUGGUUAUCAUAUGUGUGUAUGGGUAAGUCGGGGCCCUGUCCCGACUCAUAUGAUUCAGGUGUUUACUCUUAGAGACUUUGCAGACAGCGUCCCGUGGUUAGUAUGUUAAGAUGUCAUGUAUUGAAUAAAGCGACCAUAUAGGCCGAUAUGUCAGUUUGACUUACUCGGUUUUUGAUUAAUUGAAUAUCGUUCGCAAAUUUCUAAGGUUUGACUGAAAGUACCUUAUUAUAUUUCCAAAAUUUUUUAUAUGUCCAGUUUCAUUGUGUUAAUACCAGAGGGUUCAGUCAGCUCUAAGUAAGGGUUGGGUGCCCAUCAUGCCCUGAUGAGAUCGGGGUGUGACAAAGUGGUAUCAGAGCAGUUCGUCCUAGGGGUCGUCUGCAAAGUCGUGUCUAGUAGAGUCUUGUUUAUGAUGUGUUGCGCGCCACAUUUAUAAACAGGAAGCUACAGGGCAUUCAGGAUGGUUACUUUUCUUUCAUAUUUAAGAUCGUGCGAUAGAGCCAAGCUAUAGGAAAUGAGAUUCCUUAUACUAACCCUUGAUUUCAGCAGAAGAAUGGCAUCGACAGAAGAAAGCGAGUGAUGAUAUUGGAAGUUACUGUCACGACCCAGCUAGGGGCCGCGACGGGUACCCGAGGCUGACCACCGAGCACCUCUUAUUUCCUCACUGGUCAUAGUGAUUUACGCUUCUGUUAUAUCCCGCAUUUUGUACCUUCGGAUAAUUCAAGACAAUUGCAAGAAGUUAAGGACAAGGCUAUAUUUUGGUCUUGUUUAAGACACAAGUUGUUUAUGAAAAUUUUGAAGCGAAAAUAUUAAGAAAGGCUAGGGGCAAAAAGGGAAAUUCACAAGAUGGCCCAUAGAAAAUAUGGAGGGAGGCUAAGGGAAAUUUGGAAUUUGGAAAAUAAAUUUUCAUGAAUUACAAAAAAAAAAAAAAAAAAGGAUGGGCUUGAGUUAAAGGGCCAUUUGGCCGUCCAUAGUAAAUGGGCCAAGGCCCACAUGGGUAAAUUAUAUAAGUAACUUACUAGUUAUAUUCUUCAUUUUAUCACUUGGAAAUUUCAAGAAGUUUGGAGAAGCCAAAGACAAGAGGCCAUUCGGCCACCUCUAACCAAACAAGAACCUUGGAGAAAAAUUUAUCAAAAAAUAUUUUCUUCUAGUUAAACAAUCCAUUAAAGGGUCCUUAGCAAAGUGAAGUGGUCAUUGGAGCAAGAAAAACACAUAUUCUUGCAAGUUACAAAUUCUAGCCAAGUGAUAAGUAAGGAAAAAGGUAAGGUUUAAUCCUUUUCUUAUAUGUUAUGGAUGAUUAUGUAUAUUGUAGUAGGUAAAAGUGGAUGAAAUUCAUGAAAAUAUGGAUGUUAUAUGUGGCCGUGUAUAUGUAGUGUGUGGCCGUGUAGAUAUGGUGUGGUGUGGAAGAAAAUGAAUCAAUUUUACUUAGUAUUUUGGUUGUUGUUGUAAUGGAAUCUAUGAGGGGAAUGAAAGUUUAAUGAUUCUAGUUAAAGUUGUAAGUGUUGGAGAGUUGUUUGGAGGCUAAUGUAAUGUUAAAAAUCAUUUCUUAUAUUCAUGGCAAUUGAUGUUGUUAGUGUGUAAAUUGUUGGUAUGGUUUAUGAACUUGAAAGAAGGAAAUGUGUUGUUAUUGUUCUUGUUGAAUUUGGAAGGUCUUGGGUGAAGUAGUAUGUUGAUUGGGUUGUUUUGAAUGUUAUGUGAAUUGUUUGAAGUAUUCUUGAAUCAUGUUAGGAAGAUUUCAGAUUAAUACUUGAAUGUGGGAUCAUUGGUGUUAGUUGGAUUAUAUGUGAUUGAAUUGAAUAUAAAUGAAUUGCCGAUGAAUUGUGUGACGAAGGUUGCUAAUGUUAGAAUAUAUUUUGGAUUGAUUGUUGAAGUUGUUAGUAUGAUUGUUGGUAUUGUUGUUGAUAGUUUGGCCGAGUAAAAUUCUCGGAUUGUUGUUGAUAAAAAUUGGCCGAGUUAGAUUCUCGGGGAUGGUGUAUUUACAGGGGAAAUGUUACCGAAAUUUCGGCAGAUCAUAAGUGAAAUUUAUUUGAGAACUAAGGCAAGUGUAUGACGACGAAUCUAAUAAUUGUGUGAACUCUUUUGAAUGUAGACUAGCAAGCUUGGAUAAAUAAGCGUAGCUAAUAGGUCGUGGAGCAGGUAUGUAAGGCUUACCCUUUUCUUUCUUUGGCAUGAUCUUUAUGAAACGAGCAGAUGACGUAUAUGUAAGAUUUCAAGGAAAUUCCUAUUCUUAGAGCCACUAGGAUGGCUAAUAUUCUUGACUUCCAUAAGUUGUAUCAUAUGGUUUUGAUGCGUAUUUAUGAUGUCCGAAGUUGUUUGAUAUGUCUCCAAGUGGCAUUCGGAAGAAAAUUGAUAUGACUAAAGUUUUGAUCUUCAAAUGCUAGCACGAUCGAUCAUUCCAUUGAGUUUUUGAUAUAUAUUUUGAUAUGUACAUAUGGUUCCAAAAGGUAUAUUUGAUUUGAUCCAUAACGAUAUCCGAAAGGUGCCUAACAUGAUUGUUGCCUUGAUUUUCCAAAAAAAUGGCUUCUGAAACGCUCGUAGAAGGUUCAGUACUUCAAACGCUCAUAACUUUUUCAUACUAAUUCGGAUUGACCCGAAACUUGUUUCUGAGCCUUCAGGUGUCGAUCCAUGUACGUACCCAUCGAGUCUUGAAAAUUUGUUCUAUGUGCAUACGUAUAUGAUUUGGCGCCUUACGAGAUUUGUGAUCUUAUUCUACGUUCUCUUAAUGUUAUCCUUCGUUGAUAGUCUCAUCUUAUAAUAAUUGUACCUUCAAGGUGAGACAAAGUCGGGAUGAUUAUUCCAUAAUAUAAUCGGAGGUUACCGACUUUACGUCACUCCGAUAGAUACAUGACUUUCUUUGGGCUCUCAUGCAUGCUGCUUAUAUGAUAUAUGUAUAUGACACAUGGACAUGAUAUAUGUAUAUGUAUAUGGGGAAUAUGGGGAAAAGGGACAUAUGUGGCGCUAUAGACGCAUUGCCACCUGGUCAGUUGGCGUAACUUAUCAUCCCGGACGCGGGAUGCCCGGACGAGGGACAUAUGUGGGGGAUCCGACGUUGUUCGGCGCUAUGAUAUGUUCUAUUUUUUGUAUAUGUGAACAAGAAAUAUUUCUUUCUGAAAAAGGCUAGGCAUGCAUGGCAACUGCCUAAGAGGCACUCAUAUGUACAGGUUAUUCUCUUAUCUCACUAUAUGCUCUAUGAUCCCAUUGUAUUAUUAUUCAUACUUUAUGUUCCUCGUCAUGCUACUUCUCAUGCCUUAUAUACUCGGUACAUUACUCGUACUGACGUCCCUUCUUGUGGACGCUGCGUUU